CCUACGGGUGGCAGCAGUGGGGAAUAUUGCACAAUGGGCGAAAGCCUGCUGCAGCAACGCCGCGUGAGCGAUGAAUGCCUUCGGGUCUUAAAGCUCUGUCCUCAAGGAAGAUAAUGACGGUACUGUAGGAGGAAGCCCCGGCUAACUACGUGCCAGCAGCCGCGGUAAUACGUAGGGGGCGAGCGUUAUCCGGACUUACUGGGCGUAAAGGGUGCGUAGGUGGUUUCUUAAGUCAGCGGUGAAAAGCUACGGCUCAACCUUAGUAAGCCUUUGAAACUGGGGAACUUGAGUGCACGAGAGGAGUGUGGAAUUCCUGGUGUAGCGGUGAAAUGCAUAGAUAUUACGAAGAACCCCAGUUGCGAAGGCGGCUCUCUGGACUGUAACUGACACUGAGGCACGAAAGCGUGGGUAGCAAACAGGAUUAGAUACCCCAGUAGUC
rnacentral:rRNA from 1 species